rnacentral:misc_RNA from 1 species
GAUGAAGAACGCAGCGAAAUGCGAUACUUGGUGUGAAUUGCAGAAUCCCGUGAACCAUCGAGUCUUUGAACGCAAGUUGCGCCCGAAGCCAUCAGGUUGAGGGCACGUCUGCCUGGGCGUCACAUAUCGUUGCCCAAUGCCUAUUGCAGUGCAAUAGGAAUUUCUAGGGCGAAUGAUGGCUUCCCGUGAGCGUUGUUGCCUCGCGGUUGGUUGAAAAUCGAGUCCUUGGUAGGGUGUGCCAUGGUAGAUGGUGGUCGAGUUAGAACGAUACCGAUCAUGUGCAUGCUCCCCAAAAUAUGGCCUCUAUGACCCACACGCGUCUUUUGAUGCUCAUGACGAGACCUCAGGUCAGGCGGGGCUACCCGCUGAAUUUAAGCAUAUCAAUAAGCGGAGGA